GUAGGGAAUAUUGGGCAAUGGAGGCAACUCUGACCCAGCCAUGCCGCGUGCAGGAUGACGGCCCUCUGGGUUGUAAACUGCUUUAUACGGGAAGAAAAAAUACUACGUGUAGUAUACUGACGGUACCGUAAGAAUAAGGAUCGGCUAACUCCGUGCCAGCAGCCGCGGUAAUACGGAGGAUCCAAGCGUUGUCCGGAUUUAUUGGGUUUAAAGGGUGCGUAGGCGGAUCUUUAAGUCAGUGGUGAAAGCCUGCAGCUUAACUGUAGAAUUGCCAUUGAAACUGAAGAUCUAGAAUGUGGUUAAAGUAGGCGGAAUGUAUCAUGUAGCGGUGAAAUGCAUAGAUAUGAUACAGAACACCGAUAGCGAAGGCGGCUUGAUGAACCAUUAUUGACGCUGAGGCACGAAAGCGUGGAGAGCGAACAGGAUUAGAUACCCGAGUAGUCC
rnacentral:rRNA from 1 species